UACGAAGGGGGCUAGCGUUGUUCGGAAUUACUGGGCUUAAAGGGCGCGUAGGCGGGCCGCCGCGUCCGGGGUGAAAUCCCCCCGCGUCAACGGGGGAACGGCCUCGGAUACGGGCGGUCUGGAGGCGGGUAGGGGCACGCGGAACUGUGGGUGGAGCGGUGAAAUGCGUUGAGAUCCACAGGAACUCCGGUGGCGAAGGCGGCGUGCUGGACCCGAUCUGACGCUGAGGCGCGAAAGCCAGGGGAGCGAACGGG
rnacentral:rRNA from 1 species